AGCAACUUAUCAUACCUACCAUCAUUGUUAGUUUCAGCCUGGCACUCUAUUUACAAAACUACUUGCGUUCUGUUUUUAGCCUUUUCAUCCUGGCAGGAAGGACUACCAUACCUUCUUCCUUCUGAAUCAGCUUGGUCUACAUGAUAAUUUUCUUGUCUCUAGACUUUCAGAAAGGGAAAAGAAAGCAAUUAUCUUCACUCAACUGACAUGAAUUUUGAGGCUCUUUAAGCUAUCUGUUCAACUGCUUGGCCUGUCCACACAGCUUUCCAAGACAACCAAACUGAAGAUAGGAUGCUUAGUGCUGUACCAGUAUGUGUCUGAAGACCUACAAAAAAGGGCUGAUGAAACUCUACCAAGAGAUCACCGCUCUGUUUUGAAUCCUGUGAGUGGACAAGCACAGCCUCACAGAACUUGUGUAAAUGAAGAACAGGCAAUCUGAUGCAGAGCUAUGGCAGGCUAUGUCGUUUGGAGUGGAAUAAGCAUCUCAGGUAA